rnacentral:lncRNA from 1 species
AUUUAUAUAUGAAUGUAUCAAUAACAUUCUGAAUUAGACAUGUUUUUUUUUUUUUUCUUCUAGCGCUCAUGACAGAUGUUGCGAAAGGAGCGAGACCUCUCGCCUCUUUCUCAUCUCCGUUGCGAGCUGCACAUGCUCAGUGACGACAGGGGAGUGGCGGUGCGACGAGCCCUCCUGUCCUGGGCCGUGACGAACCAUGCCAGUUUGGAAUGUUUCCACUCAGGACGCUUUCUGAGAAAGUUGACAAAUACUUGCCGUGGGAAUUGGACCUAGCUGUCGAACUGUUUCCCAUGAGACCAACAAUGAUACAGGACUCCAAUGCUUAAUCAGUUAAGUACCCUUUCUAGUUUUU